rnacentral:rRNA from 1 species
CUACGGGGCGCACCAGUGGGGAAUAUUGGACAAUGGGGGAAACCCUGAUCCAGCAAUGCCGCGUGUGUGAAGAAGGCCUGCGGGUUGUAAAGCACUUUCGGUUGGGAGGACUGCUUCUAGCACUAAUAUUGUUGGAAGUUGACGUUACCUUCAGAAGAAGCACCGGCUAACUCCGUGCCAGCAGCCGCGGUAAUACGGGGGGGGCAAGCGUUAAUCGGACUUACUGGGCGUAAAGCGCGCGUAGGCGGCUAGAUCAGUCGGGUGUGAAAGCCCCGGGCUUAACCUGGGAACUGCAUCCGAUACUGUCUAGCUUGAGUACAGGAGAGGAGAGUGGAAUUCCACAUGUAGCGGUGAAAUGCGUAGAUAUGUGGAGGAACACCAAUGGCGAAGGCAGCUCUCUGGCCUGAUACUGACGCUGAGGUGCGAAAGCGUGGGGAGCAAACAGGAUUAGAUACCCGCGUAGUC